rnacentral:rRNA from 1 species
UACGUAGGGAGCAAGCGUUAUCCGGAUUUAUUGGGUGUAAAGGGUGCGUAGACGGGAUUACAAGUUGGUUGUGAAACCCCUCAGCUCAACUGAGGAACUGCAACCAAAACUAUAAUUCUUGAGUGCAGGAGAGGAAAGUGGAAUUCCUGGUGUAGCGGUGAAAUGCGUAGAUAUCAGGAGGAACACCGGUGGCGAAGGCGGCCUGCUGGACUGCAACUGACGUUGAGGCCCGAAAGCGUGGGGAGCAAACAGG